rnacentral:rRNA from 1 species
CACGUAGGCGGCCGUGUAAGUCAGAUGUGAAAGCCCCGGGCUUAACCUGGGAACUGCAUUUGAUACUGUACGGCUUGAGUCUGAUAGAGGGGGUGGAAUUCCAGGUGUAGCGGUGAAAUGCGUAGAUAUCGGGAAGAACACCAGUGGCGAAAGCGGCCUUCUGGCACUCACCUGACGCUGAGGUGCGAAAGCGUGGGGAGCGAACG